UUCUGUGAGUGUAUGAGUCAAAUUUUUCUCAUUUGCUGCCCUGACUAACCUGGGUUUUUAAAUGGGAGUCCAUGCAGAAAAAAAGGACAGGUUCGUUUGAGACUCUGAAGAAUCUGACUGCAUUUCUAAAAGGUGUUGCCAGAUUGCAGGAAGGGUACGAACUGGCAUAUAAAUAGGUAUGUUUCAGCUCCCCUUGGUGUAAGGCUACUGGGCCCCACAGGCCUCCUGCCCAUUGGCUGACACACUGCAGGAUCAUACCACAAGAGCUCUGCCCAGAUUCACGUACACCCAGAAGGAAGGAAAUAAAGCUGCAAGGCUUAAUCCACAUUAGCGCAUUUCGUAUCAUUAAGUGUGCUUGUCUUUGCAAACUUAUUAAUGUUCUUACAACGUUUUUACAGCCUCUGCCUGCAGAAUGAUUCCCUUCACUCAGAGCAAUUCUGAACAAAGGUCUCCACUUCUGUCCUGCACGGAUCCCCUGCAAGCUGUUGGGGACCACUGGGCAGCCGCCUGAGGUGUGGAAAUGCUGGAAGAUGUGGAAGAGGAGGGACUGAUUGCUGCUAAAGAUCUGGGGAAGCUGAAGCGAGAUGUGACUCAAUGGUGUAUCAUCCCUGGCUGAUAGGAAGAGAACCAAAACAUCAUACCAGACACUGAAGAGAACAACUCCAUCUCAGCUGAAAGACAAGGACUACAUGAGCUGAUAAGAAGGCGAGCUGCAAGGGUGAACAGCUAGAAAGGAGAUGGAAUGGAAUCACCCCUUUUGGCAGCGGGUGAUUUAUUGGAUUGGAUCUGCUGAGCUCCUCAGUCCCACUCAGUGACACAGAGCACUUGAGCUGGGGAACAGAAAAGGUACAGCACGUUGGUGCAGCUGCAAGAUCCAAUCACAACUAAAGAAGAGGAACAAGAGGAAGAAGAGCAAGUAGUUCCAUAUGACUUGGAGAACAGCAGCAGGCUUAAAGUCUCUGACUAAGUCAGAGUAAGCUCAGAAGACUCAGGCAGGGAAAAACAUGUAAAUACUGAUUAUUUUGCACAGAUCCGUGUAUUCCUUGAGCACCCAGAGAGGGUGUGCAUGUACCCAAAACUGCUUCCACAGUUGCUUCCACAAUUAUGAUGUUAUCAUCAUUUUCCUGUAGCGAAACAUUCAGAGCCAUUUUGGUCCAGUCUACGUAUGUAUUUCCUGACCAGAAUGAAAUAUGGCCCCCUCCCCCCACCCAGUAAUGCCUUAUUUACUUGGGUUGGGGAAUGAUUUGCAGUCGGUGAUCCUAUUCUUCCUGUUAUGAAGUAUUGUAGACUUUGCCUGCUGAGCUAACCCACAUUAGUAAACCAAAAUGCAAAUGAUAUGCUUGUAUCUGCUGACCCCAACUUUGAAAACUGGUUGAUUUUUUUUUUUUCCCCUUUUCUUCUAAUCAGUGACAUAAGAGACAUAGGCACAAGCUUAGAAGUCAGCAGGUACAUCUGCCUGUAUGUCAAGUGACCCGAAUCCUCCUUUUCAUUAUACAUACUUUCAAUAGUGUAGGAAAGGACAGAUGAUGCUAAUUAGACUAAUGAGAUAGAUUUUGGUAGAAGAAUAAUAGAACUCUCUCUUCUUUCCUUCAACUCUUUGCUUUUAGUUAAUUCUUUCCUUCUAUCUUGCUUGUUUGUCUGAAAACCAAUUUUGAUGUGUAUUCAUUAGGAUUCAGACACUGGAAAGAAAAGUCUCUGCAAACUUCUUCCCUACCUUUGCUGGCAUGCUUUCCCUCCUAUAGCAAUACCACUUCUGCAAUGCAAGGCUCUAUAAACUAAUUCUGAGAUACAUUAAGACUCACACCACCUUUCCCCCUCUCACACUCAGUGCUUCUCUAAUUUUUCACAUUCCCUCUGUCCUUUAGAUCUUCCACGAGCAUUCCUCUAAAGUGCAUGUUGUUCUUAAUAUACACCCUUAUUAAUCUUCUUGGCUCAUCUUUCUCCAAAACUAUUACCCCAACUCACAUACAGGUACUUCCAAGCCUCUGUUACUCUGUCUUGUAUGUCUGAUGUUCUGAAUAUUUACUUCACUGUGCUGCAGAACUCACUCUUACGACUUCUGCUUCCUUGAAUGAUGUUGUUUUUAUUUAUAUCUUCGCUGGUUUCCAUCUUUUACUGUUGCCAUCUCUCUGUCAAUUUUAUCUUUCCUCUCAAUACUCUCUCCUUGUCUUUCACAACUACAUCCUCACUUCUCCCUUUGGAUAGCUGAGGCUUCUUUUUCCAUUCUCAUUCACCAUGGAAAUCUAACCAGGCUUUCACUCUUCUGUCUUUCCCUGUGGAUCAAUAUCCAGUAAUGUUGGCAGCAUUCUCCAUCAGAUGUGUACAUUUAUCUUAGUCUCUUCAUCCAUUUUAGCCAGUGCCUUCCUGGAGAAAGAGUCUUUGCCCAUUCAUCUUUCCCAUGGCUGCUGCAUUUUCCUCCUGAAUUGCUGCUCCACUCCCACUACUCUGUAAGCACUCUUCUUUCUUUUGUGUUGCCUUGUUGCCUCUGCUGAUCAAAGCUAUUGAUGCAUCUGGACCAUGUGCAAAUUUUGUAGCCUUCUCUCUCGAGGUCUCAGCCCUCUUGUUCAUCUCUUCCCUUUUUAUUCCCUGUACAUCCAUCUUUCCUCCUUUCUACUCUAACACAAAUCAAAAGUCAACAUAUUUCCCAUUUGCUUACCUAUUCAAAUCUUCCCUCUCCUUUUUUUACCACAAUUUCAAAUUUUUAUUUUCUUCCUUCUUCAUAGACACACCCUCUCCUGAUUACUUUUACUUCUCACCAUGCUGUGUGUUUCUUCUUCUGUUUUAUCAGUGAUGCAAACAUUAAUCCUUAUGAAAUUUGUUUGACAUUCCUUUCCAUUCUGCCUGAAAACUUAAUGCAAAUAAUGAAAUAGGCAUUCUGUCUUUCCCCUCUGCCCUGCUCCUGUUAGAUAAACUUGAUGAAACUAGCUGGGAAGCCGGAGUUAACUCCUAAUUCAGCAAUCUAAAAGAAGAUAAAAUUGAUAAAAUUGAAAAAAAAAAAAAGUUUUAUUUCCCAUUACGGGAAUAAAAAAUGCAAUGAGGAAAUAAACAGGAGCAGAUGAAAGCCAAACAAUCACAAAUAUAGGAAGGAGCGUAUCAACUGCUUGGAGUUGAUAUUUUUAAGGUCAGUAUGUGGGAAAGAAAUUGUGAUUGCACCAUAUUCAGAAAAGAAGAAAGUAGAUGAGAUGAACUGACCAAGCUAACAGCUUCUUUUUUUUUGCUCAGUCCAGCAGUUCCAUAGUCCUUCUGAAUUUCUGCCUAGCACUUUCUAAUAUAGGGCUUCAUCCCCUGGACCAGGCUGUUGUGAGUCACUCUGUUAAAACACUGAUCUAAACAAAGACAUUUUGCAUGUUCCGAGCUCCAGAGCCUGGUAUUCUUUUGCUGUAGCUCCGCCACCUUGACUAUAAUCCACGAGUGCUCAUCUCCACCAAAACUCUAGUGACGCUUCUGCCUACUGCUCAGAGCAAUUGUAUGGCUGAAUACAACUUUGGAUAACUCGAAGAUGAGGUUUUUCUCCUUAAAGAAAGAAAAAACAACAAUAUCACCUCUGAGUUUGGAGCAGAAUGAAUGAGCCGUAGAUGUAUUUGCGACUGGGCAUUUGCUGUGUGCCAGCAGAGCACACGGUCUGAAUGAUGGGCAUGACAGGCAGCAGAGGAUGAAACAAAUGCAAGGAAAGAGCUGCAGCAAAUCAGGCUGGAGUUGCAGAAUUAUAACACUGUAGUUGCUCAUUCCGGUCAUGCAUGCAGCAAGGUUGCGUUAUGUGUAAACACUACUACUUAUCAAAUGACUGAUCAGUCCAUUACAAAUGAGGGCUGCACUCACAUGGAGAGGAUGGCAGGACACCUGAAACAAAAACGUAUGCAAAAAGCUGACCAGCAACAUUUUUUAUACCUAGGGGA